GGAAAAUAGACCGCCACCACCAUUCAUGAUCUUCCACUGUCAGCUGAAUAUAUGUCAAACCAAUGCUUAGGGUCACAGUGAGCAGUAUAAGGAUUAUAAACAUAAAGAAAAGAAUACCAGGAAGAGUUGAAAUCUUGUAGCCCCAAAGGGUAAAAUACAACUGGUGUAACUCAACAACAAUGGCACUGAAAGGUAGAAGACCAGCCAAAAACAUUUGACCAGGUGUCUUCCUGUACCAAGCUAGCGAUGGAAUCUCUCUUGCACACUUCUUUGUGGCAGACGGUGCUUGAAACUCAGACCUACGCCGAUAGCCAAUUAUCCCACCAAGAGCAAGCAGUGGAAUAGCGAUGAGGGUAUAAACAAGAAUAAUGACAAGUAUGGUGCCAAAUGGAAUAGCUAAAGUAGCUCCAAAUGAUACCGCCACUGAAUUAAGGAAAAACUGCAGUACGAGGAAUGG
rnacentral:misc_RNA from 1 species